rnacentral:rRNA from 1 species
UACGAAGGGGGCUAGCGUUGCUCGGAAUCACUGGGCGUAAAGCGCACGUAGGCGGCUUUCUAAGUCGGGGGUGAAAUCCUGGAGCUCAACUCCAGAACUGCCUUCGAUACUGGAGAGCUUGAGUCCGGGAGGAGGUGAGUGGAACUGCGAGUGUAGAGGUGAAAUUCGGUAGAAUAUUCGCAAGAACACCAGGUGGCGAAAGGCAGGACCUGC